UACGAAGGGAGCUAGCGUUGUUCGGAAUCACUGGGCGUAAAGCGCACGUAGGCGGAUGUGUCAGUCAGGGGUGAAAUCCCGGGGCUCAACCUCGGAACUGCCUUUGAUACAGCACGUCUCGAGUCCGGAAGAGGUGGGUGGAAUUCCUAGUGUAGAGGUGAAAUUCGUAGAUAUUAGGAAGAACACCGGUGGCGAAGGCGGCCCACUGGUCCGGUACUGACGCUGAGGUGCGAAAGCGUGGGGAGCAAACAG
rnacentral:rRNA from 1 species